rnacentral:rRNA from 1 species
AUGGGGGAGGUGAUCGCGAUCCACAGCCUUGAGGAGUUGGCUACCGUCAGCAGAAACAAGUUGGUGGUGGUUUACUUCAGUGCAACAUGGUCCGAGCCAUGCCGCCUCAUUUCUCCAGUCUUCCAUGACCUUGCCAAGAAGCUUACAAAUGUUACUUUCCUAGAGGUUGAUGUUGAUGAAAUCAAGUUACUUUCUCUCAAAUUCAAUGUUUCGAUCAUGCCGACGUUCGUGUUUGUUAAGGAACGAGUGCUCGUGGACCAGGUUUCCAGAGCUUCGAAGGAUGAGCUGGAAAACAAGAUUGAGAAACACAUGAUUGCGUAG